UCAAAAUGUAAAAUCUAAAUUUAGAGGUUUAUCUGUUUCGAUUAAGUACAUACGUACGAUUGUUCUAUAGUCAAAAUAAUAUCAAUUCAACGAUCACUCUAAUAAAUAUAGUUAUUCUAGCGGAUACAAUCAUUUAAAAUGUGUUCAAUAACAGGAAUCCGAAUGAAUAGCUAUUCCGAUACAGCUUAUCGCUCCGCGACAGAGGGUAAAUUUUUAAAAAAAUUCGUCGACCAACCAAAGAGUGAAAACGCUAAUAAAGUUAUUGAAAUAGUUCGAGAAAUCCCCGAGCUUCGUAAUUGUUUUUUACUCCCAUGAAGGAUGCAAUACAAUAUCAAUUUAUAUGAUUAAAGUAUCAAUUAUUAUCAUUAUCUUAGUUACUUAAGUAACUAUUUGAUAUAGUAAGUGAAAGACGAACGAAUAUUUUUACCUAAAGUGAAAAAUAUUUUGAAUGAAACUAUAAAUUAUCAAAAAACUUUUCCGCUAUGAAAACUGCAUACUGAAAUGUAUGAAACAUGCUCCAAGGGCCAUCUCUACUAGGAACGCUAUGUGACAGACAAUCAUCAUAAGACAAUCAUCAUGAUCAACGUGACAGAACUUAAUUUUGUGGAUUUUGUUUGCCACGCGCUCCAUGAUCACGAAUAUGGUUACUCAAUGCUACUAUAAAACACCUGAAAACAUCAACCGCAUGUUCCACAUAGGAAUAUCACGUGCUGUAAAUGAUAAUGUACUACUCUGUGAUGAAAUUUUAGCCAUCAACGUUACUUUUGAUUACAUGGAACGCCGUUCUUUCGCAUAUUUCGACGAAAAUUGCGUUACUAUAAAUAUCUUCAGUAUAGGUUCGUAACGGGCAACGGUCUUGGUCAACCGCGGUGUAGUAUACAGUAAUAUAGUCGUAAGGCAUUUUUUUGCGAAUACAGUGGUAUAAACCAGUGGUAUAAAACGUCGUUGUUUCUGGUAUGUGCGGAGCUUAACUCUGGUCAAGUUUAUACUAUAAGUUGACGUCACACUAAAAUGCUCUGGUUCGUUCUGUUCGUGAUUAAAGGCGCGAAAUAUUGGGAAGAAGACUCAAGUGCAGAAAUGAAUUCCAGUUUUAUCAGUAUUUAACAAUUUCUUCCCCAUAUUCGUUGAUACACUCAACAUAUUCCAUGUCUACUUCCCGAUUGUAUAUUCGCCUGUAUUUAAAUUUCGACUCAGAGACCGCCCUGCUUCUAAUUCAACCAGUUUCGAUUACGCUACAGAGUAGGGUUUAUUCUGGUUUUAUACCAAAACCGCUUACUCCGCCCCUACCGGAAAACACCAGAGUCGCGAAAACGCGUUUGGUACCUUUUGGUACACAUUGGUUGCUAUACCAGUGCUCGCCAAAAAAUGUAUUAUUGUUGACUUCUCUCUGGUAUUUAAUGACGAAAAGUUAUAUUUCAGGUACAUACCAUAUAAUAUCUCGUGCAUGCGGAGAGGCAAGCAACCACUCCAGCAGCCGAGUCGUCGUUCAUCAUUGAUUGUAUUGAAUGGUAGCACCCUAAGGCGUAGUACCGCUGGUAGAACUGACCACAAUUUUCCGUAUCUCGUAUAAUCAGUGUUGGAAACGCAAGGAACUUUUACAAGACGUACGCCAUGAUGGACUACGGAGGCGACUGCGGAGAUGACGGUGGAGGCUAUGGGGGCGACUGUGGAGGUGAUAUUGGUGCUGUUGAAAAUUACCACCAUGGAAGCGCAAACAUCUGGCUCCAUGAUGAUGAUCCUUGUACUUAUAAAAAUGUUUACACCUCUCCACACACUUCAUAUUACCCACCCUCGCGGGGAGGAGUAGGAAGUGUUGGAAGCGGUUCCGAUUGCUUUUGCUCGGAUCCCUGCUCUCAGAAAUGCAUAAUUAUCACAGUGUCCGUAGUUACCGGCAUACUGAUAUUCUACGUUAUUUUACUAAUGAUACCAUGAUCACAAUCUACCGACUCUUUCAGAUUUGGUCUUUACUGCCCGCGUUGAACGUCACUUAUUUUCGCUAUUAUCAAAGUCUACGCAUCAUAGAUAUAAAAGUGCUGAAUACAAAUACGUGAAGACAAUUAAAUUUCCGCAAGAUCUGAUGCAACUCAUCGGGCUAAUUUGAAAACUGAUUAAAUAGGACAAAAGGUGCUGAAUUGGAAACAAAAAAUCGUUCACAACUAACUGCAACGGACACGUCAAUAUUUUUAUGUGAAAAAGU